GCCCGGGUGGCUCAGUCUGUUGGGCGUCUGACUUCGGCUCGGGUCAUGAUCUCAUGGUCUGUGGGUUCGAGCCCCACGUCGGGCU
rnacentral:tRNA from 1 species